rnacentral:lncRNA from 1 species
GGAUGGGGAUGGGGAUGGGGAUGGGGAUGGGGGCACGGCGGGAUCCGCGGCCGCCCGAGCGGAACGGUGGAUGACCUUGAGGCGCCGGCCAGCAGUAGAGAGGGAGGCAGAAGCCCCUCCCGAGCCCCACAGGAGCGGAUCUGCCGCCCGGCGCUGCCGGGGAAAGCUCCUGCUCUCAGCCGCGCCGAGGGGUCUUCAGGCUGGCUUCGGUCCCAGCUGGACAGCUGAUGGAGAGCCAUCAGGUCCAGUGUGGCAAUGCUGAAGCCCAGGAGCAGCACUGGAAACAUCUGUCCUGUGCUCUCUGGCAAGGGCUUCUGCUUCCCUUGAAUGUCCAGCUCACAGGCUGAGCUCUCUGAACUGGAGCUGGAGCUCCAGACGGGGGUCCAGGUUGUUGUUUGGGGUGCCCAGCAACAUCUCUGGUGAGAAGAAUGCAGAAGGAGCUUCCUCAAAUGGGGAUCUGGCACCUUUCUUAUGGACUCGGCAUUUCUGA